GAAUUCAGUAUGCAGAUUGUUGAAGGGAAAACUUCAAGACAGGGCGAGGAAGCCGGCAAAACAUGAUUACCCAGAUUGAGGAUCCCAGUGUUCUUUGUCUCAAGCUACAGAGCCUACCAUGAGAAAAUUAAAAGAUCUGUCAUGAAGAAGAGGCGGGUUCUCAACUUUCAUAUUUAUUAUAAAUGGCAAGUAUUGUUUCAGAACUAAUUUUAGAUUAUUCUUGAUAGAAAAAUAACAUAAGGGUGUUUGUUAAUUCAUAGCUAUUAUUUAUGAUUGCAUUGUGUAUUAAUUUUCAAAAUCAAUUCAUUCUUUGGUGAGCAAGUGCAGCGGUUUGUUUCAAACUCAUAAUUUUUUAUAUUAAUUUGUCCAUAUGCAGAAAAUGUUAAUCACUGUACAAAUUCUAUUUCAGCAUGAUUGUCAUCUUCAAUUUGAGGAACUCUCACCUAAAGUCCUUUUACUGUUCCAUAUCAGGAAAAAGUUCAUGAGCUGAAACAUGCGAUUGGAGAAAAAGAAAAAGCAUUAGGAAAAUGCCUGCACAAGGGGAAAAGGUUUGGACUCAGAAAAUGGAGGUGUGACAAAACCAUUUUGACAGUUGUUGAUUUCCACUAAAAACAAUAUCCACAAGAAAGAGUACAUAGUUUUAUGUUGAUUCACAAUUUUAAUUCAAGAAUGUACAAUUGGUUUUAUUAUAAAACAUGUCAGUGACACAUACAAAAAAAACAUUCGUGAAAUGUACUCUGUCUUAGAUAUGUAUGUAAUUUGCAGGAUAGGAUGAGGGCAACAUAAACUGCCAAGAAUCUUGAUGAUUUUGAUCUUAUGUUUGUAAAAAGAAAUGUUUUGUAUUGUAAUAAACAAAGUUAAAGU